UGAGCAAUCUGCCCUUCUCAUCGGAAUAAGCGUUGGAAACGACGUCUAAUGCCGAAUACGACCUCCUUUCGCAUGAUCGGAGGUGGAAAGCUCCGGCGGAGAAGGAUGAGCUCGCGGCCUAUCAGCUAGUUGGUGUGGGUAAUGGCCCACAAGGCAACGACGGGUAGCUGGUCUGAGAGGAUGGCCAGCCACAUUGGGACUGAGACACGGCCCAGACCUACCGG
rnacentral:rRNA from 1 species